AGCAGCGUGGCUCAGUGGAAAGAGCAUGGGUUUGGGAAUCAGCAGUCAUGGGUUCGAAUCCCGGCUCUGCCA
rnacentral:tRNA from 1 species